AAAUCUGGCUCCUCGGGGCCCGAAUUGUAAUUUGUAGAAGAUGCUUUGGGUCUGGGCCUGGCCUAAGUUCCUUGGAACAGGACGUCGUAGAGGGUGAGAAUCCCGUAUGCGGCUGGCGCCCGUGCCCGUGUAAAGCUCUUUCAACGAGUCGAGUUGUUUGGGAAUGCAGCUCUAAAUGGGUGGUAAAUUUCAUCUAAAGCUAAAUAUUGGCCAGAGACCGAUAGCGCACAAGUAGAGUGAUCGAAAGAUGAAAAGCACUUUGGAAAGAGAGUUAAACAGUACGUGAAAUUGUUGAAAGGGAAGCGCUGGCAACCAGACUUGGGCGCUGUUGAUCCGCUAGGGUUCUCUCUAGGGCACUCGGCAGUGCGCAGGCCAGCAUCGGUUUGGGGGGUUGGAGAAUGGCUGGUGGAAUGUGGCUGUCUUCGGGCAGUGUUAUAGCCACCGGUGGCAUGCAGCCUCCCCGGACCGAGGACCGCGCUUCGGCUAGGAUGCUGGCGUAAUGGUUGUCAGCGACCCG
rnacentral:rRNA from 1 species